AACGUUCUGUUGAUUAGGAAAGUAUACUUUGAUGCUUUUUAGAGAGACUCUGGUUGGUGAAAAGAGUUAAGUUCAGAUAAGUAGAAAAUGGCCUAUGAGGAAAGGAUAUCGAUAAGUAGGUAUUCUCGGAGAUUGUUUCACCGUUAAAAGAAACGCCGAUAGAUUUUUUGUCGGGCUAAGGGAAGAAUAAAUUCUUCUAAACUAAGGUGGUAACACGAUAACUCGUCCUUUUA
rnacentral:ncRNA from 1 species